CCUACGGGAGGCAGCAGUGGGGAAUAUUGCACAAUGGGGGAAACCCUGAUGCAGCGACGCCGCGUGAGCGAAGAAGGAUCUCGGUAUGGAAAGCCCUUUCAGCAGGGAAGAAACGGACAGUACCUGACUAAGAACCCCCGGCUAACUACGUACCAGCAGCCGCGGUAAUACGUAGGGGGCAAGCGGUAUCCCGAUUCACUGGGCGGAAAGGGAGGGCAGGCGGCAGGGCAAGGCCGGCGGUAAAACCCGGGGGUCAACCCCGGGACCGCAUUGGAAACUGGCGGUCUGGCGUGGCGGAGGGGUAAGCGGAAUGCCUAGUGUAGCGGUGAAAUGCAUAGAUAUUAGGAGGAACACCAGUGGCGAAGGCGGCUUACUGGACGAUGACUGACGCUGAGGCACGAAAGCGUGGGGAGCAAACAGGAUUAGAUACCCCGGUAGUC
rnacentral:rRNA from 1 species